rnacentral:rRNA from 1 species
GACGAACGCUGGCGGCGUGCUUAACACAUGCAAGUCGAACGGAAAGGCCCUGCUUUUGUGGGGUGCUCGAGUGGCGAACGGGUGAGUAACACGUGAGUAACCUGCCCUUGACUUUGGGAUAACUUCAGGAAACUGGGGCUAAUACCGGAUAGGAGCUCCUGCUGCAUGGUGGGGGUUGGAAAGUUUCGGCGGUUGGGGAUGGACUCUCGGCUUAUCAGCUUGUUGGUGGGGUAGUGGCUUACCAAGGCUUUGACGGGUAGCCGGCCUGAGAGGGUGACCGGCCACAAUGGGCCUGAGAUGCGGCCCAGACUCCUACGGGAGGCAGCAGUGGGAGAUAUUGCACGAUGGGCGGAAGCCGGAUGCAGCAACGCCGCGUGCGGGAUGACGGCCUUCGGGUUGUAAACCGCUUUCGCCUGUGACGAAGCGUGAGUGACGGUAAUGGGUAAAGAAGCACCGGCUAACUACGUG